GGGGAUUUAGCUCAGCGGCAUAAGCACCUGCCUUGAAAGCAGGCAGUCGUGAGUUCAAUCCACAGUACCGA
rnacentral:tRNA from 1 species